CAGCAGCCGCGGGAAUACGUAGGUGGCAAGCGUUGUCCGGAAUUAUUGGGCGUAAAGCGCGCGCAGGCGGAUAGGUCAGUCUGUCUUAAAAGUUCGGGGCUUAACCCCGUGAUGGGAUGGAAACUGCCAAUCUAGAGUAUCGGAGAGGAAAGUGGAAUUCCUAGUGUAGCGGUGAAAUGCGUAGAUAUUAGGAAGAACACCAGUGGCGAAGGCGACUUUCUGGACGAAAACUGACGCUGAGGCGCGAAAGCCAGGGGAGCGAACGGGAUUAGAUACCCGAGUAGUCCCUGUCUCUUAUACA
rnacentral:rRNA from 1 species